GGGUUGUGAGGUUAAGCGACUAAGCGUACACGGUGGAUGCCCUGGCAGUCAGAGGCGAUGAAGGACGUGCUAAUCUGCGAUAAGCGUCGGUAAGGUGAUAUGAACCGUUAUAACCGGCGAUUUCCGAAUGGGGAAACCCAGUGUGAUUCGUCACACUAUCAUUAACUGAAUCCAUAGGUUAAUGAGGCGAACCGGGGGAACUGAAACAUCUAAGUACCCCGAGGAAAAGAAAUCAACCGAGAUUCCCCCAGUAGCGGCGAGCGAACGGGGAGCAGCCCAGAGCCUGAAUCAGUGUGUGUGUUAGUGGAAGCGUCUGGAAAGGCGCGCGAUACAGGGUGACAGCCCCGUACACAAAAAUGCACAUGCUGUGAGCUCGAUGAGUAGGGCGGGACACGUGGUAUCCUGUCUGAAUAUGGGGGGACCAUCCUCCAAGGCUAAAUACUCCUGACUGACCGAUAGUGAACCAGUACCGUGAGGGAAAGGCGAAAAGAACCCCGGCGAGGGGAGUGAAAAAGAACCUGAAACCGUGUACGUACAAGCAGUGGGAGCACAGAGCAAUCUGUGUGACUGCGUACCUUUUGUAUAAUGGGUCAGCGACUUAUAUUCUGUAGCAAGGUUAACCGAAUAGGGGAGCCGAAGGGAAACCGAGUCUUAACUGGGCGUUAAGUUGCAGGGUAUAGACCCGAAACCCGGUGAUCUAGCCAUGGGCAGGUUGAAGGUUGGGUAACACUAACUGGAGGACCGAACCGACUAAUGUUGAAAAAUUAGCGGAUGACUUGUGGCUGGGGGUGAAAGGCCAAUCAAACCGGGAGAUAGCUGGUUCUCCCCGAAAGCUAUUUAGGUAGCGCCUCGUGAAUUCAUCUCCGGGGGUAGAGCACUGUUUCGGCAAGGGGGUCAUCCCGACUUACCAACCCGAUGCAAACUGCGAAUACCGGAGAAUGUUAUCACGGGAGACACACGGCGGGUGCUAACGUCCGUCGUGAAGAGGGAAACAACCCAGACCGCCAGCUAAGGUCCCAAAGUCAUGGUUAAGUGGGAAACGAUGUGGGAAGGCCCAGACAGCCAGGAUGUUGGCUUAGAAGCAGCCAUCAUUUAAAGAAAGCGUAAUAGCUCACUGGUCGAGUCGGCCUGCGCGGAAGAUGUAACGGGGCUAAACCAUGCACCGAAGCUGCGGCAGCGACACUAUGUGUUGUUGGGUAGGGGAGCGUUCUGUAAGCCUGUGAAGGUGUGCUGUGAGGCAUGCUGGAGGUAUCAGAAGUGCGAAUGCUGACAUAAGUAACGAUAAAGCGGGUGAAAAGCCCGCUCGCCGGAAGACCAAGGGUUCCUGUCCAACGUUAAUCGGGGCAGGGUGAGUCGACCCCUAAGGCGAGGCCGAAAGGCGUAGUCGAUGGGAAACAGGUUAAUAUUCCUGUACUUGGUGUUACUGCGAAGGGGGGACGGAGAAGGCUAUGUUGGCCGGGCGACGGUUGUCCCGGUUUAAGCGUGUAGGCUGGUUUUCCAGGCAAAUCCGGAAAAUCAAGGCUGAGGCGUGAUGACGAGGCACUACGGUGCUGAAGCAACAAAUGCCCUGCUUCCAGGAAAAGCCUCUAAGCAUCAGGUAACAUCAAAUCGUACCCCAAACCGACACAGGUGGUCAGGUAGAGAAUACCAAGGCGCUUGAGAGAACUCGGGUGAAGGAACUAGGCAAAAUGGUGCCGUAACUUCGGGAGAAGGCACGCUGAUAUGUAGGUGAAGCGACUUGCUCGUGGAGCUGAAAUCAGUCGAAGAUACCAGCUGGCUGCAACUGUUUAUUAAAAACACAGCACUGUGCAAACACGAAAGUGGACGUAUACGGUGUGACGCCUGCCCGGUGCCGGAAGGUUAAUUGAUGGGGUUAGCGCAAGCGAAGCUCUUGAUCGAAGCCCCGGUAAACGGCGGCCGUAACUAUAACGGUCCUAAGGUAGCGAAAUUCCUUGUCGGGUAAGUUCCGACCUGCACGAAUGGCGUAAUGAUGGCCAGGCUGUCUCCACCCGAGACUCAGUGAAAUUGAACUCGCUGUGAAGAUGCAGUGUACCCGCGGCAAGACGGAAAGACCCCGUGAACCUUUACUAUAGCUUGACACUGAACAUUGAGCCUUGAUGUGUAGGAUAGGUGGGAGGCUUUGAAGUGUGGACGCCAGUCUGCAUGGAGCCGACCUUGAAAUACCACCCUUUAAUGUUUGAUGUUCUAACGUGGACCCGUAAUCCGGGUUGCGGACAGUGUCUGGUGGGUAGUUUGACUGGGGCGGUCUCCUCCUAAAGAGUAACGGAGGAGCACGAAGGUUGGCUAAUCCUGGUCGGACAUCAGGAGGUUAGUGCAAUGGCAUAAGCCAGCUUGACUGCGAGCGUGACGGCGCGAGCAGGUGCGAAAGCAGGUCAUAGUGAUCCGGUGGUUCUGAAUGGAAGGGCCAUCGCUCAACGGAUAAAAGGUACUCCGGGGAUAACAGGCUGAUACCGCCCAAGAGUUCAUAUCGACGGCGGUGUUUGGCACCUCGAUGUCGGCUCAUCACAUCCUGGGGCUGAAGUAGGUCCCAAGGGUAUGGCUGUUCGCCAUUUAAAGUGGUACGCGAGCUGGGUUUAGAACGUCGUGAGACAGUUCGGUCCCUAUCUGCCGUGGGCGCUGGAGAACUGAGGGGGGCUGCUCCUAGUACGAGAGGACCGGAGUGGACGCAUCACUGGUGUUCGGGUUGUCAUGCCAAUGGCACUGCCCGGUAGCUAAAUGCGGAAGAGAUAAGUGCUGAAAGCAUCUAAGCACGAAACUUGCCCCGAGAUGAGUUCUCCCUGACUCCUUGAGAGUCCUGAAGGAACGUUGAAGACGACGACGUUGAUAGGCCGGGUGUGUAAGCGCAGCGAUGCGUUGAGCUAACCGGUACUAAUGAACCGUGAGGCUUAACCUUACAACGCCGAAGCUGUU
rnacentral:rRNA from 1 species